GAUGAACGCUAGCGGCAGGCCUAAUACAUGCAAGUCGGACGGGAUUUGGGAGCUUGCUCCCAAUGAGAGUGGCGCACGGGUGCGUAACACGUAUGUAACCUACCUUAAUCAGGGGGAUAGCCUCUCGAAAGAGAGAUUAACACCGCAUAACAUAUUUUUAUGGCAUCGUAGAAAUAUCAAAUAUUUAUAGGAUUAAGAUGGGCAUGCGGAACAUUAGCUAGUUGGUAAGGGAACGGCUUACCAAGGCUACGAUGUUUAGGGGAUCUGAGAGGAUGACCCCCCACACGGGUACUGAGAAACGGACCAGACUCCUACGGGAGGCAGCAGUAAGGAAUAUUGGUAAAUGGGCGCAAGCCUGAACCAGCCAUGCCGCGUGCAGGAAGACGGCCCUAUGGGUUGUAAACUGCUUUUGUACCGGAAUAAACCCUUUUACGUGUAAAAGGCUGAAUGUACGGUAAGAAUAAGGAUCGGCUAACUCCGUGCCAGCAGCCGCCGUAA
rnacentral:rRNA from 1 species